rnacentral:rRNA from 1 species
GUAGGUGGCAAGCGUUGUCCGGAAUUAUUGGGCGUAAAGCGCGCGCAGGCGGUCCUUUAAGUCUGAUGUGAAAGCCCACGGCUCAACCGUGGAGGGUCAUUGGAAACUGGGGGACUUGAGUACAGAAGAGGAAAGCGGAAUUCCAAGUGUAGCGGUGAAAUGCGUAGAGAUUUGGAGGAACAUCAGUGGCGAAGGCGGCUUUUCUGGUCUGUAACUGACGCUGAGGCGCGAAAGCGUGGGGAGCAAACAGGGAUUAGAUACCCUGGUAGUCCACGCCGUAAACGAUGAGUGCUAAGUGUUAGGGGGUUUCCGCCCCCUUAGUGCUGCAGCUAACGCAUUAAGCACUCCGCCUGGGGAUACGGCCGCAAGGCUG